AAAUCCUGUCGGGUAAGGUUUAGCCAACCGCCCGUACCGAGUCCUUGGAGUCGAAGCGGUAACGUGAGAUUUAAGCGUAGGACAGGGAGCAACAGAGCCGAAACGAAAGUGAAGUAAUUGAGCUGGGAAAUUAUUAUGAGGUUGGAAAUGGUCGAUGUGUUGUUAUUCACAGCAGACAACAUCUAUGUAGCCGAUAGGGCAAGGAUACAUGGGCAUCCCCCAGUCUGAG
rnacentral:ncRNA from 1 species